rnacentral:misc_RNA from 1 species
UGUGUGUGUGUGUGUGUGUUUUAGUAGAUCUGAACAUUUAGGAUAAAUGGGUCGUUGUUUUUAAUGGUAUUUUUUUAAUGGUAUUUGUGGUAAUCUAUCGGUAGUUUUUAGUUUGUUUGGGGAUAUAGUUUUUUUUUUUCUUUCCUUUUUGCCUCCUUAGUGCAAGUCAUUUCUUUUACUUGUAAAUGCUGGCUGUUGGAUUUGAGGUCAUUUUGUGCUUGGAAUUUGGGGUGUCUGGAUGGAUCCAUGUGAAAUGAAAAUGAUAUUCUAGUUUGUAAUUUUAAGAUCCCAAUUGCUGGCGGGAUUUUGGAGAGGAUUUAGUUUCCAUAAGUUUUCUGAUGAAUUUUCAGAUCUGAUGGUAUUUUUGGGCGUUUAUUCACAAAAUUUUAAUUUGCACGCUGACCAUUGGAUGGAUCACACAUCUCUCAUGGCUUGAUACUGAAAGAUGGAUAUUUAGCUAGUUAAGAGUAGCUUUUUGUAAUACUGGAAAAUCAUGUUUAUACUGAAAUUUUGAGUGUGUUUUCUGACUUGCAGUUGCCAGAAUGGAAACCUUCCUA